AACGAACGCUGGCGGCAUGCCUAACACAUGCAAGUCGAACGAGACCUUCGGGUCUAGUGGCGCACGGGUGCGUAACGCGUGGGAACCUGCCCUUAGGUUCGGAAUAACUCCCCGAAAGGGGUGCUAAUACCGGAUAAUGUCUUCGGACCAAAGAUUUAUCGCCUUUGGAUGGGCCCGCGUUGGAUUAGCUAGUUGGUAGGGUAAAAGCCUACCAAGGCGACGAUCCAUAGCUGGUCUGAGAGGAUGAUCAGCCACACUGGGACUGAGACACGGCCCAGACUCCCACGGGAGGGAGGAGUGGGGAAUAAUGGACAAAGGGGGAAAAGCUUAUCCAGCAAAGGCGGGGGGGUGAUGAAGGGCUUAGGGUUUUAAAGGCCUUUUAACCGGGAAGAUAAUGAAAGUAACGGGAGAAUAAGCUCCGGCUAAAUCCGGG
rnacentral:rRNA from 1 species